ACUCAAAUGAAUUGACGGGGACCCGCACAAGCGGUGGAUCAUGUGGUUUAAUAUGACGCUACGCGUAGAACCUUACCGAGGCUUGACAUCCCUGGAACCCGCUGGAAACAGUGGGGUGCCGCAAGGAAUCAGGUGACAGGUGCUGCAUGGCCGUCGUCAGCUCGUGUCGUGAGAUGUUGGGUUAAGUCCCGCAACGAGCGCAACCCCUGUCGUAUGUUGUAUUUUUCAUGCGAGACUGCCCGGGCCAACCGGGAGGAAGGUGGGGUCGAAGUCAGGUCGGCAUGGCCCUUACGCCUCGGGCCACACACGUGAUACAAUGGCCGGUACAACGCGCCGCUAAGCCGCGAGGCGGAGCAAAUCGCAUCAAAACCGGUCCCAGUUCGGAUAGGAGGCUGCAACUCGCCUCCUUGAAGUCGGAAUCGCUAGUAAACGUGGGUCAGCACACCACGUUGAAUACGUUCCCGGGUCUUGUACACACCGCCCGU
rnacentral:rRNA from 1 species